rnacentral:rRNA from 1 species
AGUUUAACGGCCGCGGUAUUCUAACCGUGCGAAGGUAGCGCAAUCAAUUGCCUUUUAAAUGAAGGCCUGUAUGAAUGGUAUAACGAGGGUCUAGCUGUCUCUUUUUUCUAGUCAGUUAAACUGAUCUGUCCGUGCAGAAGCAGACAUUAAUAUACAAGACGAGAAGACCCUAUGGAGCUUUAGACACUAGCCAACUGUGAAUAAGCGACUGAACUGAGCAAGUCCUAAAUACCCGCAGCCUUGUGGUAAUGUAGUCUUAGGUUGGGGCGACCACGGGAGAAAGUAAAGCUCCCAAGCAGACCGGGAAAACCCUUAAGCCGAGAGUUGCAACUCUAAGCCGCAAAAUUUUUGACUGAAAUGAUCCGGUUGAAAAACCGAUUAACGAACCAAGUUACCCUAGGGAUAACAGCGCAAUCCUCUCCCAGAGUCCCUAUCGACGAGGGGGUUUACGACCUCGAUGUUGGAUCAGGACAUCCUAAUGGUGCAGCCGCUAUUAAGGGUUCGUUUGUUCAACGAUUAAAGUCCUACG